UCCAAAGGCUCCUGGCAGGACUAGUGGU
rnacentral:piRNA from 1 species